rnacentral:rRNA from 1 species
UACGGGGGGGGCAAGCGUUGUUCGGAAUUACUGGGCGUAAAGGGCUCGUAGGCGGCCAACUAAGUCAGACGUGAAAUCCCUCGGCUUAACCGGGGAACUGCCUCUGAUACUGGAUGGCUUGAGAUUGGGAGAGGGAUGCGGAAUUCCUGGUGUAGCGGUGAAAUGCGCAGAUAUCAGGAGGAACACCGGUGGCGAAGGCGGGUCUCUGGGCCGAAACUGACGCUGAGGAGCGAAAGCGUGGGGAGCAAACAGG